AGCAUGCAACUUGGCUUCACCUGUCAAAGGCGCUUUUUUCGAAGACGCCCGGGAGCUCUUGCUUUUGCUUGAGGGUCUUUGGUGUUGACUGAGAGCGAAUUAAAAGGUUCUCAGCUUUCGCUAAGGAACGCAUUCUGGAGUCUAGAACAGGCGAAGAUGGGACUGGGGUGUCUGGGGACUUAGACGUGAGCGAGCAAGGGAAUCCGGGAUGUUGUAAAAGUUGUUGAGUUCUGGAUUUGAUUCUCAGCUUGGUCGCUGUUGGUGCAUAGAAGAGCUACUAAUUUGUGUACGUCGGAAACUUUGCCGAAUUGGACUACAUUUCUAGAAAUGGAUUCCUGAAUUAAAAGAGAUGCUUCUCUUAAAUAUUUAUGUAAAGUUACUCUCAGAAAGGUUGUAAGUGGAUUCCUCCCACCAAAAGUAUUGUGAAUGAAUAUCUUCUUAAAAUUUACAAUUGUUUUGACCAUUUCCCAGUCCUUAAACCAAUGAUAACAUUUUAUUUUCUUUUUCUUUUUUCUUUUCUUUCUUUCUUUUUUUUUUUUUUUUUUGAGACAGAGUUUUGCUCUAGUUGCCCAGGCUGGAGCAAUGGCACGAUCUUGGCUCACCGCAACCUCCACCUCCCAGGUUCAAGCGAUUCUCCUCCCUCAGCCUUCCCAAGUAGCUGGGACUACAGACAUGCGCCACCAAGCCCAGCUAAUUUUGUAUUUUUAGUAGAUAUGGGGCUUCUCCAUGUGGGUCAGGCUGGUCUUGAACUCCCAACCUCAGGUGAUCCGCCCACCUCAGCCUCCCAAAGUGCUGGGAUUACAGGCGUGAGCCACUGCGCCCGGCCUUUAUUUUCAUAAUAUUUCCAUGUCUUUUAUUUCUCAUAAGCUUACAUAUGCAUUCAAGUAUUUAUUGGUCAUUUUCAAUUUUUCCUUCUAAGAGUCUAUAUUCUUUACCUAUUUCUACACAUUUUUGUAUUCAUCUAUAUGUUGAUUUGUUUUAAAUUUAUUAUCUGUUUGUUGUAUCUGAAAUAUUUUCCCUUAGUUUAUUUGCUACUUAAAUUUGAGGGAGGCAGGGAAGUUUACUGAAACAUACUUUAUAUUUUCUAUAAUUUAUUAACUAUUUACUUCAUAAUUUGUGUUUUGGCUGUCAAGCCUACAGACCAAAAUUAUAAUAACAUCAAUUUGUAAUUUGAUAAGCACUCUGGUAGUCUAUUUUUAAGUUAUACAUGUCGUGAACAUUAUUUGUUUUAAUGUGUGAGGGAUGGAAGUUACUUUAUUUUUCCAGGUGGUUAACUAGUUAACACAGAUUAUUGCUUUUCUGUAAUACUUUUACUGAGAUAUAAUUCAUAUACUCUAAAACUCACCCAUUUAAAGUGUACAAUUCAGUAGAUUCUUUUUUAUUUCUUUGAGACAGAGUUUUGCUCUUGUUGCCCAGGUUGGAGUUCAAUGGCGUGAUCUCAGCUCACUGAGAUUAUUGCUUUUCUGUAAUACUUUUACUGAGAUAUAAUUCAUAUACUCUAAAACUCACCCAUUUAAAGUGUACAAUUCAGUAGAUUCUUUUUUAUUUCUUUGAGACAGAGUUUUGCUCUUGUUGCCCAGGUUGGAGUUCAAUGGCGUGAUCUCAGCUCACUGCAACCUCCGCCUCCUGGGUUCAAGCGACUCUCCUGCCUCAGCCUCCCGAUUAGCUGGGAUUACAGGCACCUGCCAUCACGCCUGGCUAAUUUUUGUAUUUUUUAGUAAAGACAGGGGUUUCACCAUGUUGGCCAUGCUGGUCUUGAACUCCUGACCUCAGGUGAUCUGCCCACCUCAGUCUCCCAAAGUGCUGGGAUUACAGGUGUGAGCCACCGUGCCUGGCCGAAUUCAGUAGUUUCUAGUUUAUUCAAAGAGCUAUGCAACCAUCAUCACAAUCAAUUUUAGAACAUUUUCAUUGCCCAAAAAGACACCAAUACCCACUAGCAAUCAUCAUUUUCAGCCACUCCAUGGGCUACAGGGAUCUUUUCUGUUAUUGCACUUGUUCUAUAUUCAUAUUUCAUGUAAUAAACAUGCAUUGCUUUUGUAAUUACAAAGUAAAAAGAAAAACGUUUU
rnacentral:lncRNA from 10 species